ACCGGCAAACCUUAGUCAAAUUAAGAAUGAAGUUACACAUUUCAUGUGAGGGUUCUCAGUGUUGACAGGCUAGUGAUACAUUAGUUGAACUACUUAUAGCACCACUCUGCCACCAUAAGUCGAUCAGUACGAAAUAUUUUAUUGAAAUGUGUUAGAUUUUUGUUAAUCUAUUUUUUAAUUUUAAUUGUACUAUUUUAUUUAUUUUGUUUAAUAUAACAAGGAUGUGGAGUCCGAACAAGGUGAAAUUUGGGUCAAAGGGAGGCAAUUUAUUAUACCCCUGUUUAACUCCACAUACUUAAAAUUCCCUCAAUGUUAGGAUUUUCAUCUACUUGGAUAUUCAUGUUUGUACAUUUUUUUUUUUUUAAUAUCAGAUGUAUACUAGCUAAUAAUGACUAUUAUUUAGAGCUCUGUAAUAAAAAAAAAUAAAUGUAAGCAGAGCUCUAGAUAAUAAAUAUGCAGGGUGGGAGAAAUCUUGGGUCGUUAACAAUUCAUUUGCUGAAAUUUUCAAGAAAGGGGAUUUAUUGGAAAUGCAUCUGAUAUAUUUAAUGUAUAAAACUAUAUUUAAAAAAAAAAGAUGUUAAGAUGGUGAGGAGAGCCACCUUGUCAGCCGGGAGAGCAGCUCUUAGGGAGAUGGUCAAUUUAAUCUUCAAGUCUGAGGCUUUACCAUGAAAAAUAUGUGGUUGUUAUAAUGAUGAUGUUUUCAUGGUGUUGGGAGUAAGACUUGGAUGUCUGAUAUUGUUAACAUGUUGGUUAGCAUCAGGUUUCCAUUGGGUUACUUGCUGGGAUAAAGCUGUUAUA